CAAGACAUCGCGAAAAGCGCUAUUCCUUUACACUGAAAAGUUCGUCUCAUAAAAGAGGCUGUCUUGA
rnacentral:tRNA from 1 species